UUUUCCCCCUCUUCUUGCUCUCUUGAUGUAAAGCGACUGACGACUUAGGGUUUUUGGGCGUGUGAUCAACAAAUCUCCUCAUCGUCCCCAGUAAGGAUACACCAUAUCGACUUCUUUUCCAUCUUUGGCUGACCUAUAAAUGACAAGGACAUAGCAAAGGAAAAUUCUGGUGAUUGGCGACUUUGGGAUGGCGACUAACAAAAAGCCAAUAGUGGGUUCUUCGUGUUCUAUGAUACUGAAGCGACUGGGGACUCAAGGUUGGUGAUUGACAACGACUAAGAAAAAAAAGAAUCCCCAUUAUUGGAGGAAAGGAGUUAGAUUUGUAAUGGCUCUUUGUGGAGGUUACUUCUCGUGGUGGUAUUGAGGAGGUCACUUAAAGCUUUUAUUUUGUUCUAUUCUUCUUAAUAAAUCUGAUGUCUGAUGUUUGUUCUUUGUUGUUUUGGUUGCGCACCUUGUUUUGCUUAAUGAAUUUUCCUUAUUUAAAAGACAUGGUUAAGGUAUGAGUAGUUCUUAUUCCACUUGUAAGAGAAAGUUUAUUGUAGGAUUAUGGCGGCUGACAUAAUAAAAUAGUACUUAUGAGUUGUA